UGGGGAAUCUUGCGCAAUGGGCGAAAGCCUGACGCAGCAACGACGCGUGAGCGAAGACGGCCUUCGGGUUGUAAAGCUCUGUCAGGAGGGACGAAGCCACUCAGGUGAAUAGCCGAGAUGGUGACGGUACCUCCAGAGGAAGCCCCGGCUAACUACGUGCCAGCAGCCGCGGUAAUACGUAGGGGGCGAGCGUUGUCCGGAAUCAUUGGGCGUAAAGCGCGUGUAGGCGGCCAUCCAAGUCCGAUGUGAAAGCUCGGGGCUCAACCCCGAGUCUGCAUUGGAAACUGAAUGGCUUGAGUCCGGAAGAGGAGACUGGAAUUCCUGGUGUAGAGGUGAAAUUCAUAGAUAUCGGGAGGAACACCAGUGGCGAAGGCGGUUUCCUGGUCUGAUACUGACGCUGAGGCGCGAAAGUGUGGGGAGCAAACA
rnacentral:rRNA from 1 species